CUGGCAUUUGACUGUAUGCUUAAUGUAUGGAUAAUAGGCAGUUAAGAAGGGCUUGCUAAAAAUGUUAAAGAAGGCAGUAACUACUGGAGGACUAUGUAAUGGGACUAAAAAAGUAUUUUCCUGAGUAAACAACAUGUUUUAGUCUUUGCCAGUCACCUUAUUUUGUGCUUCGAUAACCAAUAUCAGUGUUAUGCUUACUACCUCUGGUACACUCUGUUUAAGAGCCUCAGUCUGAUCACAAGACAAGCCUUAACAAGCAUUAGACCCUGAAGCACAAUUAUAAACAGACUUGCUGGAGGUAAAUUAUUAAGUGUCCCUUGUGACGUCUGAAGGAUGGUGGAGUUCCCUGAGUGCUCAGAUUGGUGAGUGUACACCUGCUACAUAUAAAUGAAAGUACCUGCCCUUUUCUGGGACUUCUCAACAGUCAUAUUGGUCAUGUUAUUAUGAGAAGCUUACUUGAAAAUUGCAUAAAAAGAAGAUCAUGCUUCGCUUGAAGACAGAUCUACUGAACUUCAGAUGCCAAAGAAUGAGGAGUGAAGUAUGCAUAAGGACUGUACAACUCUUGUCCAUCUUUCAGACAGUGGAAAUUAGGUAAAGCUAAUUCUAAUUCUGCUGCAUGUCUUGAAUAAUCCCCCAUAUAGUGGAGUCCUGAGCUGGUUGAUGUCUCCAGUAGUUAUU
ensembl:lncRNA